rnacentral:rRNA from 1 species
AACCUGGUUGAUCUUGCCAGUAGUCAUAUGCUUGUCUCAAAGAUUAAGCCAUGCAAGUGAAAGUACAUGCAUAUUUUUAUAUGCGGAAACUGCGAACGGCUCAUUAAAACAGUUAUAAUCUACUUGACAUUUUUUUCUAUAAGGAUAACUACGGAAAAGCUGUAGCUAAUACUUGCUUUAAUGCUCUCGACGAAUGUCUUGGGCAUGUACUUGUUAAGCCUUUAUAAGAAAAAAGUUAAUAACUUAAGGAAUGAUAACAAAGAAGUGACACAUAGAAGGACCUGCGUCCAUUUAUAGUGUGUAUCAAUCGAGUUUCUGACCUAUCAGCUUUUGAUGUUAGGGUAUUGGCCUAACAUUGCUAUGACGGGUAACGGGGAAUUAGAGUUCGAUUCCGGAGAGGGAGCCUGAGAAAUAGCUACCACAUCUAAGGAAGGCAGCAGGCGCGUAAAUUACCCAAUUCUAAAGAAGAGAGGUAGUGACAAGAAAUAACAAUACAAGACCAAAACUGGUUUUGUAAUUGGAAUGAUGGGAAUUUAAAUCCUUCCCAUAAUACAAUUGGAGGGCAAGUCUGGUGCCAGCAGCCGCGGUAAUUCCAGCUCCAAUAGCGUAUAUUAAAAUCGUUGCAGUUAUAAUGUUCGUAGUUAAAUUUGAAAGAAUCAACAUUUUAAGCAACGCGUUUAGCUUAAUCCACACGACUGGUGCUUCGUAUCGGUUGGUACUUAGCAUCGACAUUGUGCGCAUUUUGCUACUACGUGUUCUUCUAAUUAAAAUGAUUCUUUUUAGGGGUUUCCUUUGUUUCGGCAUUGAAUCCCUUGUUACCUUGCGAAAAAUAAACUGUUCAAAGGAAACAGUUAUAUUAUAGCAUUGCGCGUUUCGAAUACUACAGCAGGGAAUAACAAAAUUGAACGAGUAAAAACUUGGUUCAUUUUUCUUAUUUUGGCUUAGUUACGAUUAAUUGGAGUAGCAUGGGGGCAUUUGUAUUCAGAUGUCAGAGGUGAAAUUCUUAGAUUUUCUGGAGACAAACAACUGCGAAAGCAUUUGCCUAAAAUACUUCCAUUAAUCAAGAACGAAAGUUAAGGGAGUGAAGACGAUUAGAUGCCGUCGUAAUCUUAACCAUAAACAAUGCCGACUAGACUAGGCUUUAGAUGAAAAGUUUUAAAAUAAGAGUUUUCUCUUCGGAGUUAACCUCUUAGAUUUGCUUCCUUCAGUGCCUUAGGGGAAAUCAAAACCUUUGGGUUCUGGGGAAAGUAUUCGCGCAAGCGAGAAAGUUAAAAAGAAUUGACGGAAGGGCACCACCAGACGUGGAGCUUGCGGCUUAAUUUGACUCAGCACGGGAAAGCUCACUAGUUUAAGACAAGAGUAGGAUUGAAAGAUUGAGAGAGAGCUCUUUCUUGAUUUCUUGGAUGGUGAUGCAUGGCCGUUUUUAGUUCGUGAAUAUGAUUUGUCUGGUUAAUUCCGAUAACGAACGAGAUCUUAACCUGCUAAUUAGCGGCAAAUACGAUAUAUUCUUACGUGGGACUGAAUUCGGUUGAUUUGCUUCUUGAACGAGGAAUGCCUAGUAAGCACGAUUCAUUAGAUUGUGCUGACUACGUCCCUGCCCUUUGUACACACCGCCCGUCGCUCCUACCGAUCGAAAGAUAUGAUGAAUUGUUUGGACAAGAAGAAAGGGGAUUAUAUCUUCUUUUUUCUGGAUACAACUAUGUAAGAAAGUGAAUUUGGAUUAGUUGUGCAUUGUCAAUAUUUGAGGCGAAUAUUAUGCGGUGCACUUCGAUUC